rfam:Schistosoma mansoni, Puerto Rico, WGS project CABG01000000 data, contig: 0226
AUCCAGCUGACGAAUCCCAAAUAGGACGAAAAGCUCGUCUUGGAU